UUGAAAUUCUAUAAUGUCUAGAAAUAUUUGUUUAAAAAACAUCUAAUUAAUUAAAUCUAUCAAAGUAAUUAAAGCAAUCGUAAGUAAAAGAAUCUAUAUGCAAAUAUUAUAAAGCGAGAAAUUACAAGUAUUGAAAAAAAAAAAAAGAAAUUUCUCGAAGAAAAAGAAAAAAAGAAGAUAAAAAAUAUGAUGGAUACUCGUGUAUAUACUAAAAAUUAUAUAGGUUAAAAUUCGAUUUUAUUUCUAUUACGUGUGCACAUUCACAUACAUAAAAUGGAGACGUUUAAUAAUUUAAUAUUAAAAUGUAUUUACUUCUGCAACCUGUAUUUGGAAAAAGUUUUAGGUUAACUCAAUACUUUGGGUUCCUUUGUUCUCGUAGAAAGUUCGAAAUGUACCGGUAGUCCGGCUCGUUCGAAUCGAACGAUCUACAAGAUCUCGCGAAGCAGUCUCCGAUCUCUCGUUUUCUUUAUCUUUCGAAUACCUGAAAACGAACGAACGCGAUGCUCCUUUCCGCGAAACGUGGAAUGAGAUGAGACGGUCGACGAGGAACGUGACGUUUCAGUCUCCUUGAGAAUUUUAAUUUCAUUUCUUAUCCGUGCGAGUAAAGAAAAGAGAUCCCAAGAACGAGAGGAAGAAGGAGAUUUAGAUGGAGAGUCAACUGCGCCCGUUUGUCUCGACGUGACGAGAAUGGAUUUUCACGGACGACACUGAGCAAAGAUGAUUACACCCCUGCAAAGGGUGUCGGACAAUCCGACGUUUUCUCACGCAUCUCUCUCCUUCGUUCGCCUAUGGAUUUCCAUUUUUGUAAAAUUGUCGUCAAGUAAAUUAAAUAGCAUUCGAUGAUUGAUCGAUUAUUUUCCAAUGAUAUCCAAGAAGAUGAAAAUGAUAAAAUAAACGAAGAGCAGACAACUCGACGAAAAAAUGUACAUAUAAUCCUCGGACUAUGCCAAGUGCCAUAAAAUAACUAUACAUGAUCUCUUGAUUUCAAAGGAACUUUUUAUCGUUACGGAAUAUACUGCCAAGAACAAAGAGCGAUCAUCUAUUUAUAAUACUCUUUAUAAUACUCUCUCCUUCUUCUUUUAUUUCGAUAUAAAUGCAUUAUUUUAUUUCGCAAUAAUUCAAGAUCUUUCGCCGUUUCUAUCUCCAAAAAUCAAAUGGCUUACCAACAAGCUAUUGUUAUUUGUACUAUCGAUAUUAUAAACCAUUUAAUUUAACCAACAAUUUAACCAACUUGAUGAACAAAAGUUUAAAAUUUCAUCGAAAUAUUGUUAGAAAUUUUACAAGACAAACUAUAAUCCGAUGAAUUACGAUGAACGCAUAAUUGCAUAAUUAAAUCACGCUUCGGUAUUUCACAAUAAAAUACCUUUUUAAAAUGUAUAGCAACACAGUAACUUUCUUCGACCGGAAUUCUCACGGGAAUAGAAGAUUGGAAAGGAAAAAAAAAUCUUGGAACGAUCGAAAAUAUUCCAAGGCAAGUUAUUCGUAAGUUUUUACCAUUAAAUAAGAAGGAAAUAUGCAAAAUUAAUUGGUGACUAAUUAAUAGAGACUAUAGAGGAGGAACGUCGAACGAGGUAACAAAGAAGAUAAAGAUGAGUGGUUUCGAAAGAGAGAGAACAAGCAGUGCAGGUGAAUGAAACGAGAGUAAUGCAACCAAUUAGUAUGAAUUAGCAUCAAGCCGCCGGAAACGAAGGUGGGGGGUGAAAAGAUGAAGGGGGCAAGUUGUAUUCUCUCAUCCCUUCGCUUUCGUCGGUAAAAUAAUUACCGAGCGUCUCUUCGCCCUUGCCCCAUGCCACCACCUCCGCCACUGCCUGCACUACCACAUUACCAUCCAUCGUGUUCCGUGCUUCCCCCCUCUCCUCCGUGAUCACGCUACUCUUUCCCCGGUUAAAUGAUUUCCGUGAACUUUCUGUCGGUGGUACGUAGCAACCUCGACGUUGCUCUCGCUACCAGUCUAUCGUCGCUACUCGAGAAGCUAAAGUAAUCCUGACGAACGGUUCGAGCAACGAACGUUCCCGUAUUCUAGACACGAAGACCGAAGGAACACAGCAACCUCUUCAAGUUUCCUCCGAAACGGCUAAUUUGUUUCCAUCCCCGUACAGAACAAUGUACGGAUAAUCCUUACUGGGCGAGUAAUCGCGAAGAAAUGAUAAGUAAUGAGCAAAUUUGUUUCGGCUGAGUUGUGCAUUUGCUCGCGAUUGAUCGCCGCCAUUUAUCAAUUCCCAACUCGCUUCUUCCCCUUCGGCAUAUAAUUCGCUCGAGCUCCCCUCGAAGAAGAAAAAACGAAACUAACAGUUUUAUGAAGCGUGUCGAUCUAUCUAAUACCGUCAAACGGUAAUACGAAGGGAAACAUUGAAUUUCCAAGCGGUUUGGUCGCAACUGUUAACGCAAUUACGAACGAAUCGCGUCAAAGCGCGACUGUUUAUCAGCAUGGACGUGAGAAAUUGAGAAAAGCAGGUGCAAAGGGAAACCAGGAAUGCUCUGCUCUCAACUGGAAUCUUGGUGAAGCGAGGUAAUUUGUUUCCUUGGAAGAAGGAGCGAUGUACCGCUAAUCCAUUCUACAACGGGUAAAAUUAUUGAGUUUAAUAAAUAUGGCUCGCUUUGUUUCUCAAUCCUAUAAAGAAAAUACUAAUAUCACUAUAUAUAUUCGAUGAUUCUCAAGAAACGAUUAUCGUGCUUUCCAAUUAAACUGAUUCCACCGUAAGGAAUGUAAAAACAACAUAUAGGAUAAGAUUUUAAAUACAAAUAGUCUUGUAAUAUAUAUGUAUAAUUUUAGUAGAUAUAAAAAUAA